CAAAUCAGGUAGGACUACCCGCUGAACUUAAGCAUAUCAAUAAGCGGAGAA
rnacentral:rRNA from 1 species